rnacentral:lncRNA from 1 species
UUUUUUUUUUUUUUACAGCUGCACCUGGGACAUAUGAAAGUUCCCAGGCUAGGGGUCAAAUGGAGCUGCAGCUGCAGGCCUACACCACAGUUGUGGCAACAGCAGAUCCUUAACCCACUGAGUGAGACCAGGGAUUGAACAUGCAUCCUCACUGACACUGUGUUGGGUUCUUAACCUGCUAAGCCACAAAAUGGGAACUCCCUAGACUUAGAGAUUUCAGACAUAAAUGAGCAUUUCCAUCUGUUUAUUUGGGUCAUGUGCCAGGGAGUAUCCUUAUUGUACCUCUGGCCCGACUGUCAUUCGUGAACAUCAGCUACCCGGAAAUGGAAAAAUAGAGCUACAAAUUUUCCUAUGCCCAAUACCUUUCUAUGCCUAACGGGGUUUAUGGAUGAAUUCACUUGCAUAUUAAAAUUUGUAUGUUAUAUCUUAAAGCAUUAUACAAAUAAAAAUAUGUUAUUGUGAGACUUACCUACUAGAACAAAAUAUGGAUAAUGAAUGAAAAAGAAAUAAGAGCCAAUAAAGCUCUAAGGUACCAUUUCUCUAGUUGGUUUAUUACUUUGAAAUAAAAGAAAUCUCAUUGGAAUUGCCCAUUUUAUUAAAAUCACCUUCAUAACAUUCCUUUGUGAUUUUUAUUUGUUUGUGUAUUUGUUUUUGUUUUUUUUGGCUGCACUCAUGGCAUGUGGAAGUUCCUCGGCCAGGGAUCAAGCCUGUACCACAGCAGCAACCAGAGUCACUUCAGUUGCAAUGCUAGACCCUUAACCUGCUGUGCCGCAGGAGAACUCCAAUAUCUUUGUGAUUAUUGAUGAAAAUUCUCAGAUAUAAGAUAACAGAUAUUCAAAAAUGUUAAGCAGCAUUCCAAAUUCACAUAGCGAUUAUAAUUGCCACAGCUGACCUUGAAUUCAAACUUCUCCCAGCUCACCACUCUUGCUUCUCCAUUGCAGGACCUCUAAACUAUGUUACUUGGUAUACACUGUAUCAAACACUAGGGAUGACUGUGUUCUCAGCACAGUUAGAUGAUAGGUCUGGGGGAGGCAGCCUUCAAGGCUCCCCUUGCAAAAUCCCCACCUCCUAAUAGUCACACCCUUGUAUAGCCCCCUCCUGUGUUAUACCAGUUUGUCCAUUUGAUCACAGAAUAUGGCAGAAGUGAUAUGUCACUUUCAAGAUUAGGUUGCAAAAGACUGUGGCUGCCAUCUUGGCCCUUCUCUCUUAGGUCACUUAAUCUGGGGAAAACCAGCUGCCAUGGUAUGAGGGAUGCUCAGACAGUCUAUGGACAGGCCCACAUGGGGAGGAAGUGAGGUACUCAGCCAGCAUCCAGCAACAUGUGAAUGAGCUUGGAAAUACAGGCUCCAACAGCUUGACUGUAACCUCAGAGGAAACUUUGAGUCUGAACCAUCCAGCUGGUGGUUUUUUAUUUUUGGUAUUCCUGAUUGAUACCAGUAAUAAAAAAAAAUCUGUGGGAUAGUAAACAUGUAUUAUUUAGGCUGACAUCUGGAGAGGUCACUUUUUGUGAAGCCACAGGUAGCUGAUACAGGCACAGUGCUGAGGUACUCAGGGAUAAGGCCAUCUUUUUGUCCCUUCUCAUACAGGAAAGACAUGCACUUUCUCUGCUCAAGGACCUGUCUCAGCUCUGUCUCUGCCAACAGGGCUGGAGAGGGGAGAGGGUGGCCCUGCCAAAUGCCAACAGCGCCUCCUUAAGGACAAUUCAUGGCAGGCGUCAGCCUGUGCUCAACUUCCCAUUGGAAAACCUGGGACAAAUCAUUCCCAGAGAAGAGUGAAUACAAAGCGUGGCUUCAGGCAGACUUCCUUUAAAUGUGCACAGACUCUUCCUGCUAUUUUCAUGUAUUUGGAGAACUAGAAAUGUUCCAGAGGCUGAUCUUUCCCUGCCCUGGACUUGGCAGAAAAGAUUUUUGAUGUCAGGGAACUCAAAUUUUAUAUUUUGUCAGUGAACUCAAAUUUUAUUAUUUUCUUAACCAGUUCAGGCACGUGGACACUUUUUGAAAAACUGCAUUUAGGGCAUGGGAUAUACUUAUGCUGUGUGCCUGUUGUCUUAAAGGCACUACCUGGUACCUGAGUGAUCCCACCCUUAUUCCUCUGCUUGGACUGUGUCAAGAGAUCAGUUUGAGUGCACUUAAUUUACAAAGCUUUUCUAAAGAGAUGCUAUCUAGUUAGCAUUUCUUAACCGUUUCCUUCUCACCAUCAGUCUCCAUGCAUGAGGAGACCUGAGCUUGGUUCACCAUCCCCCUUGCCUUUGGGGAGUCUUUCCUGGCUCCCCACAUUAACUCUGGGGAUUGAAGGACAUUUGAGACUUUGAACAGUGGGGGUUUAGUAAACGUCACCAAGUAGUGCCAGUGCCUGAGAGGCUGGCAUCAUAAGGAAGAAGUUGAAUGUUGGUAAUAAUGGCAACUCCACUUGGCUAUGAACUUUCUUUGGGGUGACUUCCUAUAUCGUGUGGUAUCUUUUCAACUUUCCUAUGAAGGAAUGGGGGUGGGGAGGGAGGAAGGUAGGGAAGGAGUGAGAGAGGAAAGGAAGGGGAAGGGAGGAAGGAAAAGAGAGUCAGAGAGAAAGGGAAAGAGGGAGGAAGGGACGAAGGGAGGAAGCAGGCAGGCUGGAAGGAAGAUCCAUGAUCUACUGUUAAACAGCUGGGGAUAUAGGGACGUAAAGCCUUGUGUGCCUUAUUAGCAUUUUUCAAGAGUUAAAGCCCAACCUUCACAUUGUCAGAGGAAAAGACCCGAUCAGAACUACCAAAAGGUGUGCCUAAUAAUGAGAUCUGAGGGGAUACUGGAGGCUUUCUUGCCCAUCCAUAUCCUUCUUCCCCUGAUGCCUGCCUAUUUAUAGUCUUCUGAAAUGCAAAUACUCUUAGGAGAGUUAACCUGCUCUCUGUUCUUAAUAUUUUAUGCUGAAGGGAUUUACCAGAACACAUUUCCUCAGGGCCCUGAGAGAAUAACAGUUUUACAGAAGAGAAGAUGAGAUCCAGCCACAUUUAGACCAAGAGAUAGUUUGUGAGGUCAACCACUUCUUUGGGGAGACAGAGUUGCACACUCACUUCUUAUAAAGACAAUGUCAGAAGUAAGGUUGAUUGCUUUUUGAAAAGUUUACAGGUAAGGAACUGAAAUUUAAGCUCUCCUAGGAAUUACAAAUAGUUGAAUUUUAAAAUAAGGAUUUAUAGCCUUGUGGGGGCCUGGUAAUUAGUGCUAUUAAAUUCAAGCACUUUGGGGAGUACCACGUUGGUAUUUCAAUUUUAGCCACAGUAAAGCCAGGAAGUGCAAAAGUUGAAGUUCUCAUGGCAAGAGUAAUUUAUCCCUAUUACACACUCCUGACAGAAUUCUUACAAGCCCUAGACACGUGUGUCUUUAAUAUACUCAGUUUGCUGAGCUGCUUUUGCAAAAGAGGACAGCACAGUUAACUCCUUCUGGACAAUAUGGUUCCAUUGUCAGCCUUAUUACAAGACUCAUGGCAUUUAGUUUGAGAGGCAUUUGUAGAACUUGAGAGAGAUAGAGGCCAAGAUAGAACAGGGAAACCAUGGUUUUACUUUUCUCUAUGCAAACGGAGCGGUGAAGUUUGUCAUCACGACAUUUUUCUUUCCAAGUGGAAGUUGAAAGUAAGGAAAGAAUAUCAUUCACAUAGCAUCAAAAGAGUGAAAUUCUUAGGGAUAAAUUUCACAAAAAAUGGGCAAUAUAUGUAACUGAAAACAAAGUAUUGCUUGAAAGGUUACAGAAGACCUACAUAAAUGGAGAGAUAUAUACUGUGUUUGUGGGAUGGAUGAUUUAAUACUACUAAGAUGUACGUUUUCCCCAAAUUGAUGUAUUUUGAUUGAAAGCCCAGGUUUUUGUGGAGAAAUUGACAAAAUGAUUCUAACUAUAUAUCCAACAACUUCGAAAAUGAAGAAAAAAAUUGCAGAACUAACUCUAUCCGAUUUCAUGACUUACUGUAAAGCUAUAAGCUGUAGUGAUGAAGACAAUGUAGAAUUAGCAGAAAGAUCGACAAAGAGAUCUCAGGAUAUGGAAUCCGGAAAUAGACCCACAUGUAUAUGGACGGCUGAUUUUUGAAAAAGAUACAAAGGCAAUUCUAAGGGAAAUAAUAGUCUUGUCAAUAAAUGGUGCUGGAACAAUUGGAUAUCU